AUAAUCUCUUAUUUAUAGAGGGUUGAACCCUUGGCUUACCAGUCUAAAAGGGACUCGGAGAUGAUGAUUUGAACUUAUCAGAGUCUUAGAGCAUGGACUUUCGUGCAAGGGAAGUGGAUGGCCUGGUCGAGGUGGGUCUCUUAGAUUGUGGACCUAUAACUCUCCUUUUCUGUUUCUUGGCAUGUUUCUUGCAUUUCAUUGACCUUUAGGUGACUCUUGCUUUGUUGCUAUUGAAAUAUGAUAAACACACCAGGUUUAAAGAAAUGCAAGUAACAAGGAAAGGAAAGACCAUUAGAAUGAGAGUUAUUAGGGUGAGUGGCCCAAUUGGCCCAGCUUAUCAAGUCAAAAAGGCGAAGGCUAUCCACUUCCUUUCACAGAGGUUCACUUCUUGUGGGUCAUGAUCUAAUUUGCAAUUGGCUUUAAUAAGCAUCUCUCGGUCCUUUUUGGAUCAGGAACUCUAGGGUCCUCCUAUAUAAAUAAGAGAUCAUAACUUCAUGUUAGAAAGAUCAAUGCAACUAUGUAUGUAUCAUGCACCAUGGAAAUUUUAUGCAAUCUGAUAACUCAAGAAUUUAUUAUUUUAGUUCCAAGUAUGCAACUUAGUCUAGGCGAUGAGAUUACACUAUGCAAUAAAAGAUGUAAUUGGAUAAUUUUUAUCUCGUUGCUUAAACUUUUAGAUGUCUACUUAGUACAAAUUUUCCUCCAUCUCGUUUAAGUAUAAACGGAGUAAGUUACGGUUUAUUUGAUGAUAAAUGAAUUAGAACACCUUAUCUUCUAUCUUUUGUGGUCUCUAUAAUUGUAUAAAUUAUAUUCUCAAUAUUUCUUAUCUAAACUGAAUAUAUUAUCUACAUUGUGGGUGGAAUGUAAUGAAUGAUAUAGAGACGGAUGAGUACGAAUGAUGAUGUUGAACUAACUCUAACUUAACACAAACAAAGGAAAGUGUGAAGGAAAG
rnacentral:lncRNA from 1 species